rnacentral:lncRNA from 1 species
GGGAAGGAAAGAAGAAGAUAUUCCUUUACUCUGGUGAGAAACUGGCACUAUGAAGGAGGAAAAUGGAUAGGUUGAAAGGCCCAGGCCGAAACGGCUUGCCUCCAGCAACAGCCAGUCCCAGGAUGUUCCUCCAAAACAGGUUGUUUCCCAUAACCCUCCCACACCUUUACUGAACUCUCCACAAUGACCUUGUUCAAGAGGACUGCUUCUGUCUAACCAGGAGGGCUGCCAGGCC